rnacentral:lncRNA from 1 species
AGAUAUAAAUAUAAUAUAAAAAAUAAAUAUAAAAAUAAUAUAAUUUAAAAUUUUAAUAAUAAUAUAUAAAUUUAAUAAAAUUAAUUAAGAUUAUAUAAAAUAUAAUAUAAAUAUAUAAAUUUAAAUAUUUUACAUAACAUAAAUUAUUAAAUUAUUAAAUUUAUUUAUGACAUUGCACCGCGUUUAUUAUUUGGUGAUAUUUCCUCGACCUAGCAACGUUUCUAGAACUACUGCCACCAAGAAAAACUGGUUUCAUGUUGUUUUUUUCGUUCUUGGCCAAACAAACAAAAGAAAAGUCUUUAAGCUCACGUUGACGAAUGAUUUAAUCUAUAAUUAGGGAUAGGAUGGGAGGACUCCGAUGUUCUGGUAACAGGCAAAUAUACUACGGCAUUGAACUCUUGGAAUCAAAAUUCAAUCAAUUAUUAUUGAUGCAGUAAUAAUUUGAACUUUAUAUAUGAUAAAACUUGUUUAAUAAUUUUAAAUUUUAAUAUCAUAAUUUUUUUUAUAAAAAAAUUAUGAUUGCCUAUCUUAAUUUGUUGGAAAUCAAAAUGUUAACAAAAUUUUUUUUUUUGUUAAUUUUUUAAUUUCCUAACAAUUGAACAUAAAAUUUUACUAUAUUUACCUGACACAAAACAAAGCUUUUUUUUUUUUUUUAUGGUUUCAACUGGGGAGAUUUUAAAUUUCUUAAUAGCUGUGAAUGAUUUUUUAUUUGUUUUCUUUGUAAAAGUAAAAAAAAAGCAACCACUUUAUUUAUUAAGAAAUGAUUCUUUCAAUUAUUUAAAAAAAACAACGAAAGUUUAUUUAAAAAUAAAUAAUACAUUUUC